GAUGAACGCUGGCGGCGUGCCUAAUACAUGCAAGUCGAGCGAACAGAUGAGGAGCUUGCUCCUCUGACGUUAGCGGCGGACGGGUGAGUAACACGUGGAUAACCUACCUAUAAGACUGGGAUAACUUCGGGAAACCGGAGCUAAUACCGGAUAAUAUAUUGAACCGCAUGGUUCAAUAGUGAAAGACGGUUUUGCUGUCACUUAUAGAUGGAUCCGCGCCGCAUUAGCUAGUUGGUAAGGUAACGGCUUACCAAGGCAACGAUGCGUAGCCGACCUGAGAGGGUGAUCGGCCACACUGGAACUGAGACACGGUCCAGACUCCUACGGGAGGCAGCAGUAGGGAAUCUUCCGCAAUGGGAGAAAGCCUGACGGAGCAACGCAGCGUGAGUGAUGAAGGUCUUCGGAUGGUAAAACGCUGUUAUUAGGGAAGAACAAAUGUGUAAGUAACUAUGCACGUCUUGACGGUACCUAAUCAGAAAGCCACGGCUAACUACGU
rnacentral:rRNA from 1 species